UACGUAGGGUCCGAGCGUUGUCCGGAAUUACUGGGCGUAAAGAGCUCGUAGGUGGUUUGUCGCGUUGUUCGUGAAAACUCACAGCUCAACUGUGAGCUUGCGGGCGAUACGGGCAGACUAGAGUACUGCAGGGGAGACUGGAAUUCCUGGUGUAGCGGUGGAAUGCGCAGAUAUCAGGAGGAACACCGGUGGCGAAGGCGGGUCUCUGGGCAGUAACUGACGCUGAGGAGCGAAAGCGUGGGGAGCGAACAGG
rnacentral:rRNA from 1 species